CCUACGGGAGGCAGCAGUGAGGAAUAUUGGUCAAUGGGCGCGAGCCUGAACCAGCCAAGUCGCGUGAGGGAAGACGGUCCUAUGGAUUGUAAACCUCUUUUGUCGGGGAGCAAAAAGGCCUCGUGAGGCCACAAGUGAGAGUACCCGAAGAAAAAGCAUCGGCUAACUCCGUGCCAGCAGCCGCGGUAAUAGGGAGGAUGCGAGCGUUAUCCGGUUUGAGUGGGUUUAAAGGGUGCGUAGGCGGACUGGAAGGUCAGUGGGAAAAGCGAGAGGCUAAACCUCUUUCCGCCGUUGAAACUGGCGGUCUUGAGUGGGCGAGAGGUAGGCGGAAUGCGUGGUGUAGCGGUGAAAUGCAUAGAGAUCACGCAGAACUCCGAUUGCGAAGGCAGCAUACCGGCGCCCGACUGACGCUGAGGCACGAAAGCGUGGGUAUCGAACAGGAUUAGAUACCCUAGUAGUC
rnacentral:rRNA from 1 species